rnacentral:piRNA from 1 species
UAUUCUGGUAUUGCUGGAAAAGCAUGAUCAU